rnacentral:rRNA from 1 species
AAUUGCUAGUAAUCGUAGGUCAGCAUACUACGGUGAAUACGUUCCCGGGCCUUGUACACACCGCCCGUCAAACCAUGAGAGUUGGCAACACCCGAAGUCGGUAGUCUAACCGCAAGGAGGACGCCGCCGAAGGUGGGGUUGAUGAUUAGGGUUAAGUCGUAACAAGGUAAC